rnacentral:rRNA from 1 species
UACAGAGGGUGUAAGCGUUAAUCGGAAUUACUGGGCGUAAAGCGAGCGUAGUCGGUUAUUUAAGUCGGAUGUGAAAUCCCCGGGCUCAACCUGGGAAUUGCAUUCGAUACUGGAUAGCUAGAGUUCGGCAGAGGGAAGCGGAAUUUCUGGUGUAGCGGUGAAAUGCGUAGAUAUCAGAAGGAACAUCAGUGGCGAAAGCGGCUUCCUGGACCAGAACUGACGAUCAGGCUCGAAAGCGUGGGGAGCAAACAGG